AAGUUAUGGUGUGGCCACUUCCUCAACAAAUCUUUGUAUCUCUCUGAAGCUUCAUACAAGCUCUCUUGAUAAUGGUGAGCAAAGGUCAUUAUCUAAUUGUGAAGCUU
rfam:Jatropha curcas cultivar GZQX0401 scaffold148_34, whole genome shotgun sequence.